UGGAUCACCUCCUAACAGGGAGACAACAAAAUGUUUAAUAUUAUUAUUUUGUCACCUUAGGUCGAUCGGUAUCUCACGUUUUUAAUUUAUUAAGAAUUUCAUUUCCUAAGUUUUUCUAGGUCACACCCAUUAUUUUUCCUGGGCCAUUAGCUCAGGUGGUUAGAGCGCACCCCUGAUAAGGGUGAGGUCCCUGGUUCAAGUCCAGGAUGGCCCAUAUCUCUAUGUUGGGGGUAUAGCUCAGUUGGUAGAGCGCCUGCUUUGCAAGCAGGAUGUCAGCGGUUCGAGUCCGCUUACCUCCACUGAUUACCACCUCUUCCAUAAUCGGUAGAAAGGAAAUGUUUUGAGUUGUGAUCAAAUUCUGAAAGAAUCUAGCUUCCUAAUGAAAUCAUUAAGAUGCUGGACUCAUUGAAUUAAUUUCAUUGUUUUCAGAGAACCUUGACAACUGCAUAGAUUAUUUUUAAAGACAAUAAGCAUCUUUAAUGAUGCAGAUUUAUUAUUUGUGCGAAUGCAUUAAUAACAAUUCUAUUAAGCUGAUGCUUCAAUUUUUGAAGUUAUUGGUCAAGCUACAAAGGGCUCACGGAGGAUACCUAGGCACACAGAGGCGAUGAAGG
rnacentral:tRNA from 1 species